UACGGGGGGGGCAAGCGUUGUUCGGAAUUACUGGGCGUAAAGGGCUCGUAGGCGGCCAACUAAGUCAGACGUGAAAUCCCUCGGCUUAACCGGGGAACUGCGUCUGAUACUGGAUGGCUUGAGUUCGGGAGAGGGAUGUGGAAUUCCAGGUGUAGCGGUGAAAUGCGCAGAUAUCAGGAGGAACACCAAUGGCGAAGGCAGCUCGCUGGGACGUGACUGACGCUGAGACGCGAAAGCGUGGGGAGCAAACAGG
rnacentral:rRNA from 1 species